ensembl:rRNA 5S_rRNA 5S ribosomal RNA
CUCGGCAGCCAGCUCUCUGCAACUCUCAUAUGGUCGCCCAGUAAAGCUAAGCAAGGCUGUGCCUGGUCAGUAUCUGGAUGGGAGACUACAUGGGAAAGCUAGGUUGCUGUUGGAA